UCUGUUUAUUGUGCAGUGUGAUCAUGUUUGGUAUAUCCUAGCAUUUGUGUACAGACAUGCUGCUCAUUUUGUGCUCUUUACUCAACGCUUGUCCAAUGGGGGGGGGGGGGCUCAUUGCUGUCUUUUUACUGUCAAGCAUGGGUCUAACUGUACUUUAACAGAUGUCCGGUUCCUAUGCAAGCGAGACGUUUCAAGGAAAAAUCCAUCUUGGGG